AACGAACGCUGGCGGCAUGCCUAACACAUGCAAGUCGAACGAGACCUUCGGGUCUAGUGGCGCACGGGUGCGUAACGCGUGGGAACCUGCCCUUAGGUUCGGAAUACCUCCCCGAAAGGGGUGCUAAUACCGGAUAAUGUCUUCGGACCAAAGAUUUAUCGCCUUUGGAUGGGCCCGCGUUGGAUUAGCUAGUUGGUAGGGUAAAAGCCUACCAAGGCGACGAUCCAUAGCUGGUCUGAGAGGAUGAUCAGCCACACUGGGACUGAGACACGGCCCAGAAUCCUACGGGAGGCAGCAGUGGGGAAUAUUGGAAAAUGGGCGAAAGCCUGAUCCAGCAAUGCCGCGUGAGUGAUGAAGGCCUGAGGGUUGUAAAGCUCUUUUACCCGGGAUGAUAAUGACAGUACCGGGAGAAUAAGCUCCGGCUAACUCCGUG
rnacentral:rRNA from 1 species